rnacentral:tRNA from 1 species
GGCGAAGUCAGCUAAUUAAAGCUCUCGGGCCCAUACCCCGGACAUGACGGUUAAACUCCCUCCUCCGCCA